rnacentral:rRNA from 1 species
UACGUAGGGUGCAAGCGUUAAUCGGAAUUACUGGGCGUAAAGCGUGCGCAGGCGGUUGUGCAAGGAAGAUGUGAAAUCCCCGGGCUCAACCUGGGAAUUGCAUUUGUGACUGCACGGCUAGAGUGUGUCAGAGGGGGGUAGAAUUCCACGUGUAGCAGUGAAAUGCGUAGAGAUGUGGAGGAAUACCGAUGGCGAAGGCAGCCCCCUGGGAUAACACUGACGCUCAUGCACGAAAGCGUGGGGAGCAAACAGG